rnacentral:piRNA from 1 species
UGCUGCCAAAUGAGCCAUGAACUGGGCUGU